UAAAGUGAUAAUUUCAUCAAGCAAAGAAUUUAAUUUUGGAGAAAUUCUUAGUUCUUGUUCAAUCAAGGCCAAUAUGAACAGCUUAUGUCUCUAUUUUAUCCUCGUUCAGCCACCCCAAGCACGAUUUACUGAUCCUAUAGUAACUGCUUUUAUUUUAGCGAUUAAAGAGACCAGGGCACAAUUUUACACAUUGGUUAAAUCGGAUUUGG